rnacentral:rRNA from 1 species
GACGAACGCUGGCGGCGUGCCUAAUACAUGCAAGUCGAGCGGACGAAUCGAAAGCUUGCUUUUGAUUCGUUAGCGGCGGACGGGUGAGUAACACGUGGGCAACCUGCCCUGUAGACGGGGAUAACACCGAGAAAUCGGUGCUAAUACCGGAUAACACGAAAUGUCGCAUGACGUUUCGUUGAAAGACGGCGCAAGCUGUCGCUACAGGAUGGGCCCGCGGCGCAUUAGCUAGUUGGUGAGGUAACGGCUCACCAAGGCGACGAUGCGUAGCCGACCUGAGAGGGUGAUCGGCCACCCUGGGACUGAGCAACGGCCCAGACUCCUACGGGAGGCAGCAGUAGGGAAUCUUCCGCAAAGGACGAAAGUCUGACGGAGCAACGCCGCGUGAGCGAAGAAGGCCUUCGGGUCGUAAAGCUCUGUUGUUAGGGAAGAACAAGUAACGCAGUAACUGGCGUUACCGUGACGGUACCUAACGAGAAAGCCACGGCUAACUACGUG